UACGAAGGGGGGCUAGCGUUGCUCGGAAUUACUGGGCGUAAAGGGCGCGUAGGCGGAUAGUUUAGUCAGAGGUAAAAGCCCAGGGCUCAACCUUGGAACUGCCUUUGAUACUGGCUAUCUUGAGUUCGGGAGAGGUGAGUGGAAUGCCGAGUGUAGAGGUGAAAUUCGUAGAUAUUCGGCGGACACCAGUGGCGAAGGCGACUCA
rnacentral:rRNA from 1 species